GCCCAGAUGGUGAAAUUGGCAAACACGCUAGAUUCAGGGUCUAGUGUCCGUAAGGACUUGGGGGUUCAAGUCCCCCUCUGGGCA
rnacentral:tRNA from 1 species